rnacentral:misc_RNA from 1 species
GUUCUUGCCGAUAAAUGCAAGCAGGAUUCGUCAAAGACGACACUUAAAAACACCAAAAUAAUAAUGAAUGAUUCUCCAUAUCCAUCAAUUACAAAGUUUUUGACACCUGUUGAUUUGAAAAACUUAUUAAAUGAUCAAAUGAAAUAACUUGAAAAUAUUUAUGAAAUUCCAAGAAUUCGGUAAUGAAUUUCCCAGAUAAGCAUAACAGAUUUGGAAAUGAAAAUAUCAUUUAACACCUGAUGAAUCAGAGUUUUAACACAAGUUGGUUUAAAACCUAUUAAGAGAAUAAAAACAGAACAACCAGAAAAAGAUUAAAUUCCAAACAUUUUGGUAAUGAACUUCAGCAAAAAAGGCAAAUAGGCAUGAUUCCCCAAACACGACACUUGAAUGCUUCUCAUGAUCCAUCAAUUAUGAAGUUUUUGAUACCGGUUAUUACAAAGUUUUCAACACCUGUUGAUAUGAAAACCUAGUAAAUGAUCAAAUGAAACAACUGGAAAAUAUUUAUAAAAUUCCAAGUAUUCGGUAAUAACUUCCAGGCACGAAUAACAUAUAUGGAAACAGAAUAAUAUGAAAAAUAAUAUUACAGAUCCAUGAAUUACAUAAAUGUUAACACCUGUCAACCAAACCUAAUAAGUGAUCAAGCAGAAUAACCAGAAAAAAAAAAUAAAGUUCAAAGAUUCGGUAACGAACUUCAACAAAGAAGGUAAACAAAGUUCAAAGUUCUUGCCAGCACUUGAAAACACCAAAAUACUAAUGAAUGCUUCUCAUGAUCCAUCAAUUA